rnacentral:lncRNA from 1 species
UAGGUGGAUCUUUGACUGUGAUAUAUUCAAUUUUCAAACCUUCAUCAAGGUGUUGGCGCAAGUAAAUCAAGGCCUUAGCACAGUUUCAAACCUUCAUCAAGGCGAUGGCGCUAGAAAAUCAAGGCCUUAGCACAGUUUCAAACCUUCAUCAAGGCAAUGGCGCAAGAAAAUCAAGGCCUUAGCACAGUUACAAACCUUCAUCAAGGCGAUGGCGCAAGAAAAUCAAGGCCUUAGCA